GGGCCGGUCGUCUAGCAUGGUUAGGACGUCAGGCUGAAACUCUGACACUUGCUAGCAGGAGACGGCGAAGGUCGGCGGUUCAACUCCGCCCCGGCCCA
rnacentral:tRNA from 1 species